AGAAGCAUAAGAGUAGUGAACAGAAACUCUACCAAUCAUUGUGCAUGUGUAUACAUUUGUCAACCUUCUCUCAAACUUGACAGGAGCUCAUAGCAGAUUUUGAUUGGCUUACAAUAAGUCAACCUAAGACUGAAAGAGAAAGUUCAUUUAUUCCCUGGUCAAGUAUUUGCCUUGUUCCUUCUGUGUACUCAACUUGAACAUUAGAAGAUUAAUGCCUACCUCGGUGUGAGAAGUGAAGGAGAUUGGUGGUUUCCAACUCGACUGGUAAGGUGACGUGAAUGAGAAAGGAAGGACAUCAUCAAGAGACAGUCACUUUGUCUCAAUUUGUGGGACAUAAGCAAGGCCCAAAAGGCAUGAAUCCUGAGAUAAAACAACAAGAUGAAUACUCCCCCUGCAGUCACCAAACAGCAUGUGUUCAUAGAGAUGGGGUUUCAAAAUUUGGCCAUGCUAGUCUCAAACUCCUGACCUCAAGUGAUCCAC
rnacentral:lncRNA from 10 species